GCCGGGUGCAGUGGUGCGUGCCUGUAAUCCCAGCAGCUGGGGAGGCUGAGGCAGGAGGAUCAUGAGUUCAAAGCCAGCCUCAGCAACAGCGAUGUGCUAAGCAACUCAGUGAGACCCUGUGUCUA
rnacentral:sRNA from 1 species